AUUUUUUUAAAAACCCUUAACCCUUUUAAGCGCUGUUUUGUCAAGUAAUCAAAAACCUAAUAAAAACAAGCAACAGGAACCACAGAUAAUUAUCCUGAUAAAAUGUAAAAUCUUUGUUUCUUAGACCAGUUAUCAAAAAGGUAAAGAAAUAUCUCCAGCAAUAUGAUUGCUUCAGCCUCCAGAAAGCACAUUUAGAGAACCUGGAAGUCAAACCUGACGAAAAGGUACUUGAAUUCAAUAAGACAAAGGAAGAGUGUGUGCCCAAAAUUAGUAAUGUUUGCCAUAUUAUAGAGGAAUGUAAACAGGUACUCUAGUACCUUGAACAGGGUAAUACAUGGCUUUUAGAAAAAGUAAAAGCUGGUGGGCACAGUGGCUCACACCUGUAAACCUAGUAUUUUAAGAGGCCGAGGCAGGCAGAUCACCCGAGGUCUGGAGUUUGAGACAGGACUGGCCAACGUGCAGAAACCAUGUCACUGCUAAAAAUACAAAAACUAGCCAGGCGAGGUUGGUGCGCGCCUUUAGUACAAGGUACUCGGGAGGCUGAGGCGAGAGAAUGGCUUUAACCCAGAAGAGGAGGUUGCGGUGAGCCGAGAUCGAACACUGCACUCCAGCCUGGCCAACAGAGCGAGAAUCCGUCAGAAAGAAAGAAAGAAAGAAAGAAAGAGAGAGAGGAAGAGAAAGAAAGAGAGAAAAAACAAAUUUCAGACUAUAUGAAAAGCAAUAAUUCAUUAAAUAGGAAGAAACAGAUCUCUAGUAGAAGUAAUAGAUUAUAAUGUGACUCUGUCUCAAAAAUAAAAAUUUUAAAAAAAAGAAAAAGUAAAAGCAUGUGAAAUUGCCGGCUCACAUGAAACAAUUCAGGUAUGUCAAGAAAAACCGAGUUCAGAAUCAAAUUAUUCUGAAAGAAAAUAUUCAACUGUAAAGCUGCAGUUCAGAACAUGGUUGAAAUUUUAAAGAAACGGCUCUGGGUGGGUGAAGCAAGAGAGGGUCUUGCAAGAGGGGCAGCAAGGGAUCCAAAACAAUCCCCCCGCCGCAAGGCAAAAGACCAGAGAAGAUCCCAGGACUGUGGGCCCUGGGCGUUGACACCUCAGAGCACACCAAGUCCGGAGCGGCCCAAAGUCAUGGAAGCUCUGGAGCUCCGGAGCCGGGGAAGGCCUGGAGAGUCGGCGGAAUGGAGGCUGCCCGGAGAUCCCAGAGCUUGGGCAGGGGAAAAGGCCUCUGGCACUCCCGCGAGGAAACAGGGUGGCGCCGCGGAGGUCCAGCGAGUGGCCUAGGCGCAAGCAAUCACGGAAGGCUCUAAGAGGCCAACAGAAGGCGCAAGGCGGCGGGCAACGGUGCUUGGGCGUAGACACGGAGAGCAACCCAGCCAGACCUCCGGCGAGCGGCUCCCGGGUCCCGAUAAGAUCCCCAUGGCACUGGAUUAGAGGUGGCGCAUGGAGUCGGACGGGCGUGGCUGAGCCGCGCCUUUGGGGCAGACAGGCUGCACUACCGGCGUCUAAGGCCAUACCACCCCGAAGGCGUCCGGUCUCCUCUGAUCUCGUGAAGAUAAGCAGGGUCUGGGCCAGACCGCUACUUAGAUGAAACGCCACUUGAGAAAACCAGGAGACGCAGGCUUGUUUAGACUUCAAGUUCCUCCCUCUUUACCGUUUGGUCGCCGUACUUCUCAACCGCACCGUAAAUCUGCUCCCUCUUUUCACACGCCCAAGCCCACACAACAGCCCGGGACCGCUUAGUGUGGGCUAACCUGCAGCACAGCUCAAACCCCUCCACCCUAUUCCGGACUGCUCAAAAGGGGGCUGCCUACCGAAGUAGGGUGCUUCCUCUCUAAGGCUCAAACGUUCUCGCUCUCUAGCUCCCUCCUCCUCACUCUUCUGGGUUUCCCCCUGGACCUCGCGUUAUUUCUCUAGCCUUCCCUCUGUACCUCUGUACUUCUCCCUUUCUCUGUCCCUCUUAGCCUCUCUCUCUUUACCUCUCCACCUCUCCGGUCUCUCUCGAUCGCUGUCUCUCUCCCUCCCUCGGUUUCUAUCUCUCCAUCCAUCUUCUCCUUGCUCUCCUUCAAGCCGUGUGUGUCUGUGUUUCACCGUGUGUGUGUGUGCGUGCGUCUGCGCACCCGUGCUCGCGUGCGGGUUCCGGAACGAGAACGAACGGGUGUGUCUGUGUGUGGGGGAGUGGAUUUGCUCCUGGUGGCGGUGGGGUGUGUCUGGGUUUCUCUCAGG
rnacentral:lncRNA from 10 species